rnacentral:lncRNA from 1 species
CCCCAGCCGGGAGCCCCGGGCCUCGGUUCGUGAGUCUCAGUACUGGCGCCGGUACGUGUGGCGGGAUCCACAUCUCCGGGUGUUGGGUGUGAGCGCGCGUGUGCCCGUGGGUCUGUGCAAGUGGUUGCUGUGUGUGUGCGCGCGUGCGUCUGUGUGUGUGUGUGUAGGGGUGUGCACUGUGGGUCUCCGUGCGUCUGGGUGGUGUGUGUGUAUCUGGGUGAGGGUGUGUGUGUCUGCGUGUGUCUAUUCGUGAAUGUGUCUAUUAGAGGGUGUGUCUGAAUAUGUAGCUGAGUGUGUGUACAUCUGGAUGAGGGUGUGUGCCAGUGGCUUCGCCUGUGGCUGGAGCCUGUGGCGGUGUGUGUGUGUGUGCGUGUGUCGCCGUGUGAGCGCCAGUGUGAUUUCCCGUGUGUGCGCGUGAGAGCGGGUGUGCACCCGCGUAGCCCCCGUGUGCGUGUGCGCGGCUUUGUCUCCGCACUGCCGGGAGGAAGGGGUGGGGGAGGCGGCCGAGGCGCUGUAGUCCCGGGGAGGCCGGCACCUGGCCGGGGCGGUGGGUGGCGGCGGCGGCGGGAGUGUCCCCGCCCGGCGGAGACUCUCUGCUGGCAGGUGGGCGGCCACACCCCAGGGGCCAGAAGGAGCUGGGCCGACCGCGGCGCCCGCGUACCGGUCAGGGCUGGAGUGGAGGGCGUGUCCUGCCUGAAGCCGGGGGCACUGGCCAGAAGAAAAGGAGAAGUUAAAAGAGCUUGACUCUGGAUGCGGGAUGAGGACUGGGGUGAGGAUUGCUUUGUUCGUUGCAUCAGGGGAUUUCUUGCUUUUGAGGUAGCUCCUUGGAUCUUCCCAUUCUGUAAGUGAUCAGGCAAAGAUACGUACCCAUUUUACAGAUGACGAUGCCAAAAGCCUGUUGAGGGGAAGUGACCUGGCUAUAUGGCCAGAGCCCACGUGCAGGACUUCCCAACCCUAUUGUAAUAUUGGAGCCAGUGUUGAGAGGCCACCUUUUGGGGUUAUAGGAGCCCGGACUGAUCAGGGGUCUGGAGCUUGUGAGGAGUGGUUAUUAUUAGUCUCUUGUAAGUGGGGAUCUGAACACCAUUCAGAAUAACCAUCUCGUUCUUGAGUUGAAGAAACAGAGAACUGAGCGUGUGUGUACGUGUGUGUGUGACCUGCCUAGGAUCGCACAGCAAGUUGGUGGCCAAGCUGGAUCCGUUUUGGUUUGUUUAGAUCCAGCCCUCAGCCCAGCCCUGGCAGGACGAUGGCCCUGCUGGUCAGCCCCCUCCUCUCUUGCCCAGUCCCGAGAGAGGUCUUCUGAGAAAGAGGCUUUUGUGUCACCGGCUCCUUCUGGUUUCCUCUCAAGGUAGCUUCACCGUUCCCCCCCAUAUCUGCCCAGAUUUACAUUUGUCCCUGUUCCAGGUUUAUAGGGCCCUGAAAUCUGAAGUUUCUCUAUACACAUCAUCUUUCUAGAUAUCCACAGGGAAGACCAUGGGCUUUUUCGUCGAGGAGGCCUGAGUUCAAAUCCCUCUAAUCCCUUUAAUUCUCUCUGUGGCCUUGGUUGAGUCACUUGUAAUAUCUUGGUCUCACCUUCCUCUUCUGAGAAGCAGGAACCAAAAUGGUGUGCGCAUGACCUAGUGGUUCCGAACACGGGCUCUGGGCCUCCCCCCUGCACUGGUUCGCUGCAGGGGUCUUUAGUGAGUCAUUUCGCUUUCUGGGUCUCGCUUUCCACCUGUGUAAGUGGAGGCCGCUGCUUCCGUGGUCGUUGUGAUAAGGCACUGUGCUGAGCUUCCCACGUAGCCUCUCACCGAAUCCUCCUGCUGGACCUAGGAACAGACACUGUCACUCCGAUCUCCCACAGGAGGAAACCAAGCCUAAGAGCAGUGAAGUGACUUGCCCCGGGCCUCAGAAUGAGAGAGAGAGGGAGAGAGAGAGAGAGAGAUGGGGCCGGAAUUCAAGCCAGCCCAAAUUUCUACCUGCUGUCCUGCACGUCUCCCUAGGCAUGCUCGCUACCUGGCCUCUGUGGUUAACCCCGGGCACUGGAAAACAGUGGAUGGGGAAGCCAGGGGCAGCUGCUGGGUGACUGAUGUCACAGAUGGAGUGACAGUGUCUUGAGGCCCGUGCUGGCCUCGGGAGCUGCAGUAGAGAGCUUGCAGCUUUUGCUCCUGCUGGUACGCCCUCAGCCCAAGUGACCUUCCUCUUCACCUGAUUCUUGUGAUCUGUGUGAAGUGGGGGCAUCUCGUCCUCCCCGCCCCCGGAGAUUUAGUGUUCUGAAUCCAGGGGACCUGAGGUUUCUCCCUCCAACACUCCUGCCCCGUUGUGUACGAGGCUGAACCUGCCGCUAAGCCUUAAAUCGUCUGUGAGCGAAUUAGGCCAGAACAGAAUGUUAAUAGUAAAAGAACGUAGGGACCACUGAGUCCAACCGUAUUUGUUUUACAGAUGGGGAAACCGAGGCAAGGAGAGGCCAGGUUGAGAGAGCAAUGGGUAUGUUUUUUACCGCCCCGGGAGCUGGAGGCUACGGGGACUCACACGAAAGGGGGUGCCUGAGGGGUGGGUGGGCCUCUGCUCUCCCUCCUCCCUCCACAUCCAGUCCCCCACCAAAUUCUUUGGGUACCACCUCUUAAGGAUCUCUUGAACCCAUCACUUCUUUCUAGCUCUACUGUGACCACCGCAGUCUGGGCGCUGGGAACCCCUAAUAUGCACACUGAGAGCUGCCCGAUUCCAGUCUGCUCCCUACCCUGCGAAUCAAUGAUUGCCCACUGCUCUUAGAAUGAAGACUGAACUCUUCACCUCGGCCUCCCAGGCCCUCUCUGCCCCCCGCGGGCUGCCUCGGCUUCUGAAGUGUUACUUUCCCUUCUGCUCUGCUGCGGAGUCACACAGGCUUUUCUGUUUAACAGGUUCGGCAACUUCUUCUCGGACAGCUAACUGCCAGCCUCUCGGUUUCCAGCUCCUUGCUGCGUCCACGCACUCCCGUUGGUUUGGGAGGACCUA